rnacentral:rRNA from 1 species
UACUCGAGUGGCGAACGGGUGAGUAACACGUGGGUGAUCUGCCCUGCACUUCGGGAUAAGCUUGGGAAACUGGGUCUAAUACCGGAUAGGAGCCAUCUUUAGUGUGGUGGUUGGAAAGUUUUUUCGGUGUAGGAUGAGCUCGCGGCCUAUCAGCUUGUUGGUGGGGUAAUGGCCUACCAAGGCGGCGACGGGUAGCCGGCCUGAGAGGGUGCACGGCCACAUUGGGACUGAGAUACGGCCCAG